UUCCAGCACCGAUUAAAGUGAAAAUCCUCCCGAUUUUUAUCGGGAGAUUGCAGCGUAAAGCGGGAAAUAAG
rfam:Flavobacterium micromati strain DSM 17659 genome assembly, contig: Ga0131131_110